rnacentral:rRNA from 1 species
AGAGUUUGAUCCUGGUUCAGAUUGAACUCUGGCGGCAGGCCUAACACAUGCAAGUCGAGCGGUAGCACAGAGAGCUUGCUCUCGGGUGACGAGCGGCGGACGGGUGAGUAAUGUCUGGGAAACUGCCUGAUGGAGGGGGAUAACUACUGGAAACGGUAGCUAAUACCGCAUAACGUCGCAAGACCAAAGUGGGGGACCUUCGGGCCUCAUGCCAUCAGAUGUGCCCAGAUGGGAUUAGCUGGUAGGUGGGGUAACGGCUCACCUAGGCGACGAUCCCUAGCUGGUCUGAGAGGAUGACCAGCCACACUGGAACUGAGACACGGUCCAGACUCCUACGGGAGGCAGCAGUGGGGAAUAUUGCACAAUGGGCGCAAGCCUGAUGCAGCCAUGCCGCGUGUGUGAAGAAGGCCUUCGGGUAGUAAAGCACUUUCAGCGGGGAGGAAGGCGGUGAGGUUAAUAACCUCAUCGAUUGACGUUACCCGCAGAAGAAGCACCGGCUAACUCCGUGCCAGCAGCCGCGGUAAUACGGAGGGUGCAAGCGUUAAUCGGAAUUACUGGGCGUAAAGCGCACGCAGGCGGUCUGUCAAGUCGGAUGUGAAAUCCCCGGGCUCAACCUGGGAACUGCAUUCGAAACUGGCAGGCUAGAGUCUUGUAGAGGGGGGUAGAAUUCCAGGUGUAGCGGUGAAAUGCGUAGAGAUCUGGAGGAAUACCGGUGGCGAAGGCGGCCCCCUGGACAAAGACUGACGCUCAGGUGCGAAAGCGUGGGGAGCAAACAGGAUUAGAUACCCUGGUAGUCCACGCUGUAAACGAUGUCGAUUUGGAGGUUGUGCCCUUGAGGCGUGGCUUCCGGAGCUAACGCGUUAAAUCGACCGCCUGGGGAGUACGGCCGCAAGGUUAAAACUCAAAUGAAUUGACGGGGGCCCGCACAAGCGGUGGAGCAUGUGGUUUAAUUCGAUGCAACGCGAAGAACCUUACCUGGUCUUGACAUCCACAGAACUUUCCAGAGAUGGAUUGGUGCCUUCGGGAACUGUGAGACAGGUGCUGCAUGGCUGUCGUCAGCUCGUGUUGUGAAAUGUUGGGUUAAGUCCCGCAACGAGCGCAACCCUUAUCCUUUGUUGCCAGCGGUUAGGCCGGGAACUCAAAGGAGACUGCCAGUGAUAAACUGGAGGAAGGUGGGGAUGACGUCAAGUCAUCAUGGCCCUUACGACCAGGGCUACACACGUGCUACAAUGGCAUAUACAAAGAGAAGCGACCUCGCGAGAGCAAGCGGACCUCAUAAAGUAUGUCGUAGUCCGGAUUGGAGUCUGCAACUCGACUCCAUGAAGUCGGAAUCGCUAGUAAUCGUAGAUCAGAAUGCUACGGUGAAUACGUUCCCGGGCCUUGCACACACCGCCCGUCA